GCAAUAGAUUGCUGACGACCGGCGCACGGGUGAGUAACACGUAUCCAACCUGCCGAUAACUCGGGGAUAGCCUUUCGAAAGAAAGAUUAAUACCCGAUGGUAUAAUAAAACCGCAUGGUUUUGUUAUUAAAGAAUUUCGGUUAUCGAUGGGGAUGCGUUCCAUUAGGCAGUUGGUGAGGUAACGGCUCACCAAACCUUCGAUGGAUAGGGGUUCUGAGAGGAAGGUCCCCCACAUUGGAACUGAGACACGGUCCAAACUCCUACGGGAGGCAGCAGUGAGGAAUAUUGGUCAAUGGGCGUAGGCCUGAACCAGC
rnacentral:rRNA from 1 species